GGGUCGUUAGCUCAAUGGUUAGAGCCGGCCGCUCAUAACGGUCUGGUUGUAGGUUCGAGUCCUACACGACCCA
rnacentral:tRNA from 1 species